UACGAGGGGGGCAAGCGUUGUUCGGAAUUAUUGGGCGUAAAGGGCGCGUAGGCGGUGCGGUAAGUCACCUGUGAAACCUCUAGGCUCAACCUAGAGCCUGCAGGCGAAACUGCCGUGCUUGAGGGUGGGAGAGGUGCGUGGAAUUCCAGGUGUAGCGGUGAAAUGCGCAGAUAUCGGGAAGAACACCCGUGGCGAAGGCGGUUCUCUGGGACGGUACUGACGCUGAGACGCGAAAGCGUGGGGAGCGAACAGG
rnacentral:rRNA from 1 species